rnacentral:lncRNA from 1 species
CUCCAUUCCAUCGUCCGUGUAAACUCCAUUCUUUUACAUGCGUCAUCCAUCAACACACCUAAGACACUUAUGGUUUAAACCAGCACAUAGACAAGCGCAUUGCAUUCUCAGACGUAUCGUACAUAAUUGGCUAAAGAGCAUGCUGAAUAGCACAUACUAUAUAGCAUCUACUCUUGCAUGGCCUCAUGGCUUAGUGCAUUUCUUCUAGGACAAACAAAUCUGUAGUAAUAGACAGCCACUAAACCAUAGUAUUCUACCUCUUCCCUUUCCCGAAGGCUUUGUAGACAAAUUUCAGGACUUUGCGCACCAAUUUCCAGAUUAAGCGGAUUGUAUGGCACAAGAAAAUAAGAA